UUUUUAAGGACUCUUCCGCUGCAGUUAUUUCAUGGUGACGUGUCGACACACUGAUGGCAGGAAGAUGAACCGUGCCGUCGUGUGCGUCUGUGCGUAGAACAACACCUAAAGGCAAACCCUCAGAAUCACCAGCUGGGCCCUGUUUCAGGAAGCCGGUUUAGUGGAAAAACUGAACCCACAAGAUUUAUCAAAGAGGGAUGCCACAAAAUUGCAGGGUUCCCAGGCGUGAUUGGCUGUAUAGAUGGCACUCACAUUCCAAUCAUUGCUCCUUCAGUAAAUGAAGGAGACUAUGUGAACAGGAAGUCUUUCC
ensembl:lncRNA